rnacentral:rRNA from 1 species
GGGAGCUUGCUCCCUGAUUCAGCGGCGGACGGGUGAGUAAUGCCUAGGAAUCUGCCUGGUAGUGGGGGACAACGUCUCGAAAGGGACGCUAAUACCGCAUACGUCCUACGGGAGAAAGCAGGGGACCUUCGGGCCUUGCGCUAUCAGAUGAGCCUAGGUCGGAUUAGCUAGUUGGUGAGGUAAUGGCUCACCAAGGCGACGAUCCGUAACUGGUCUGAGAGGAUGAUCAGUCACACUGGAACUGAGACACGGUCCAGACUCCUACGGGAGGCAGCAGUGGGGAAUAUUGGACAAUGGGCGAAAGCCUGAUCCAGCCAUGCCGCGUGUGUGAAGAAGGUCUUCGGAUUGUAAAGCACUUUAAGUUGGGAGGAAGGGCAGCUAAUUAAUACUUCGCUGUUUUGACGUUACCGACAGAAUAAGCACCGGCUAACUCUGUGCCAGCAGCCGCGGUAAUACAGAGGGUGCAAGCGUUAAUCGGAAUUACUGGGCGUAAAGCGCGCGUAGGUGGUUUGUUAAGUUGAAUGUGAAAUCCCCGGGCUCAACCUGGGAACUGCAUCCAAAACUGGCAAGCUAGAGUAGGGCAGAGGGUGGUGGAAUUUCCUGUGUAGC